UGCAGUCGAGCGAACAGAUAAGGAGCUUGCUCCUUUGACGUUAGCGGCGGACGGGUGAGUAACACGUGGAUAACCUACCUAUAAGACUGGGAUAACUUCGGGAAACCGGAGCUAAUACCGGAUAACAUAUUGAACCGCAUGGUUCAAUAGUGAAAGGCGGCUUUGCUGUCACUUAUAGAUGGAUCCGCGCCGUAUUAGCUAGUUGGUAAGGUAACGGCUUACCAAGGCAACGAUACGUAGCCGACCUGAGAGGGUGAUCGGCCACACUGGAACUGAGACACGGUCCAGACUCCUACGGGAGGCAGCAGUAGGGAAUCUUCCGCAAUGGGCGAAAGCCUGACGGAGCAACGCCGCGUGAGUGAUGAAGGUCUUCGGAUCGUAAAACUCUGUUAUCAGGGAAGAACAAAUGUGUAAGUAACUGUGCACAUCUUGACGGUACCUGAUCAGAAAGCCACGGCUAACUACGUGCCAGCAGCCGCGGUAAUACGUAGGUGGCAAGCGUUAUCCGGAAUUAUUGGGCGUAAAGCGCGCGUAGGCGGUUUUUUAAGUCUGAUGUGAAAGCCCACGGCUCAACCGUGGAGGGUCAUUGGAAACUGGAAAACUUGAGUGCAGAAGAGGAAAGUGGAAUUCCAUGUGUAGCGGUGAAAUGCGCAGAGAUAUGGAGGAACACCAGUGGCGAAGGCGACUUUCUGGUCUGUAACUGACGCUGAUGUGCGAAAGCGUGGGGAUCAAACAGGAUUAGAUACCCUGGUAGUCCACGCCGUAAACGAUGAGUGCUAAGUGUUAGGGGGUUUCCGCCCCUUAGUGCUGCAGCUAACGCAUUAAGCACUCCGCCUGGGGAGUACGACCGCAAGGUUGAAACUCAAAGGAAUUGACGGGGGACCCGCACAAGCGGUGGAGCAUGUGGGUUUAAUUCGAAGCAACGCGAAGAACC
rnacentral:rRNA from 1 species